rnacentral:sRNA from 2 species
GUGAAUUUCUUUGUUGUAUAUGCACUGUUUUCUGAUAAUUUUGUUAACUCAAAGAAAAAUAAUUGAUUACUCAAAAAUAGAAACAUCUCUGCUGAAGAUAGUUUCUAUAUAUAUAUUGAAAGUCAUUUUUCUGAGUUGAACUCUCUGUUAUAUUUCAUUCAUUUUCAGAGUAUAUAACUACUUCUUCAUUCCUCUUACUGUGAAUCCUCUUCAUUAUCUUUCUUUCUUUUUUCAUUUUCUUUAUACUUAUCUGCAAUGUGCUUGUCUAUUUGCUGUAAUGAAUUUCUUUUCAUAUUCUUCUUCUUUUAUCAUCAUGACAU